UCAGGAUGAACGCUGGCGGCGUGCUUAACACAUGCAAGUUGUGCGGUGAUCUCAAGAAGUUUCGGACGGAAAGGGAGAGCAGCAGCGGACGGGUGAGUAAAGCACAAGGACUUGUCCCGAAGAGGGGGACAACUGUGGGAAACCACAGCUAAUACCCCAUAAGCCGAGAGGUGAAAGCAGUAAUGCGCUUUAGGAGAGACUUGUGUCCUAUCAGGUAGUUGGUGAGGUAACGGCUCACCAAGCCGAAGACGGGUAGCCGGACUGAGAGGUUGUACGGCCACAUUGGAACUGAGAGACGGUCCAGACUCCUACGGGAGGCAGCAGUGGGGAAUAUUGGGCAAUGGGGGGCCAACCCUGACCCAGCGACGCCGCGUGAGGGAAGACAGCCUUCGGGUUGUAAACCUCUGUUGCAGGGGAAGAAGAAAGUAACGGUACCCUGCGAGGAAGCUCCGGCAAACUACGUGCCAGCCGCCGC
rnacentral:rRNA from 1 species